AUUCUAAUUUUAUAAAAAAGAUAGUGUUAGUUUUUACUUGAAUUAAAAUUUAUAAAAUUUUCGUACUUGCCAUACAACGAAACCUCAUGCAGCCUCGUGUACUGUUUUGUCUACUGCUUUCUCUUUCAUUAAAUCACAAGGGAAGCGUAUAUAGUUUUGUAAUAAAAAGCUCGGCAAUUUAACAAAAUAGCUACAAAUUCAGGUUCCCAUUUUAAUAACAUACAUAAAUUUUAACAACUUUUAACAUCCCACAAUAUUUCCGCUGAAGAAAUCGUUGAAAAAAAAGAUUGAGAAGACAGGAAAAGUAGCACACAAAUUGUAGAAGGCCUUUGCUUGGAUGUAUCAUUUAUUGAAAUAUGUAGUUAAAUAUGUUCAUGUGAAUAAAGAAUAAAAUUUGAAAAACUAA